rnacentral:rRNA from 1 species
UACGUAGGGAGCUAGCGUUGUUCGGAAUCACUGGGCGUAAAGCGCACGUAGGCGGCUAUUCAAGUCGGGGGUGAAAGCCCGGGGCUCAACCCCGGAACUGCCCUCGAAACUAGAUAGCUAGAAUCUUGGAGAGGUCAGUGGAAUUCCGAGUGUAGAGGUGAAAUUCGUAGAUAUUCGGAAGAACACCAGUGGCGAAGGCGACUGACUGGACAAGUAUUGACGCUGAGGUGCGAAAGCGUGGGGAGCAAACAGG